rnacentral:lncRNA from 1 species
AAGAAAAGCCAUUUUUUAUAUAUUUCCAAAUGUCAUCCAAGUGUUAAGCUUUAUCACAGUUUGUCAAUUGAUAAAUAUUGCUGAGCCUUUUUUCCUAGCAUAUCUCAGACAUUCCUCACCCCUAAAACACUCUUAAAACUGAGAGUUUAUUCCUAGACUAGUUAAGGUACAUAGCCCCAAGGAGAACUUCUGCAGAUUCCUUUAGAGACUGCUAAGCUUCCACUUGUAUUUUGACUGGAGAGCCCCCUUCUAUAGAGUGAUUGUCACGACAGGUAAGGACGUGGGAAUGGAUGAGGCCACUGAAGUUAGCAGGAGCUUUGUCACAUCAAAGCCGCGGGAAGCCGAAGGCUGCACACCCGCCGUCUCACAAAGGCACCGAGGACUGUGGUCUCAACGCGGUGUUUUCAAACGUUUCAAUAAGCUUCGUGUUUUUUUUUUUAAGUAGCCUGUGGUGUCUGAGUUUUCGUACUUAUCCAGUGAUCCUUCCAGCAGGCCGGCUUUCGGCCUUCUCACCAUUCAGGUCUCCUGCUUACAGGUGCGUGAGCAACUCCUGCUGGGCCCUGGCUCCCGAGUGCGGUGUCUCGGCUUAAAGCUCGAUUAAUGGGGAGAGUUCAUCGGAACAGACCUGGACAAGGACAAUUUGGCAUCUG